rfam:Trichuris suis scaffold107.15, whole genome shotgun sequence.
GGCUCCAUAGCUCAGCUGGUUAGAGCGCCAGUCUCGUAAACUGGAGGUCGCGAGUUCGACUCUCGCUGGAGCCU